UACGAAGGGGGCUAGCGUUGCUCGGAUUGACUGGGCGUAAAGGGCGCGUAGGCGGUUCGUACAGUCAGACGUGAAGUUCCUGGGCUCAACCUGGGGGCUGCGUUUGAUACGUGCGGACUUGAGUGCGGAAGAGGGUCGUGGAAUUCCCAGUGUAGAGGUGAAAUGCGUAGAUAUCUGGAGGAAUACCGGUGGCGAAGGCGGCAUCCUGGACCGGCAUUGACGCUGAGGAGCGAAAGCUAGGGGAGCAAACGGG
rnacentral:rRNA from 1 species